CUCUUUUUUAAAUUUUUUGUAGACAGAAUCUUGCUUUCUCAUCCAGGCUAGAGUACGUUGGUGUCCUCUCACCUCAUCCCCUCACAAUGUGGGGAUUACAGGCAUGAGCCACUGAACACAGCCCUAAAUUUGUUGAUUCAUUUUUCUCUCAAUUUUUAAUACUAUGAUUUUCUUUUUUUUUCUUUCUUUCUUUUUUUUUUUUUUUUUUUUUUGAGACGGAGUCUUGCUCUUUUCGCCCAGGCUGGAGUGCAGUGCCGCUGUCUUGGCUCACUGCAACCUCCGCCUCCUGGGUUCAAGCGAUUGUCAUGCCUCAGCCUCCCUGAGUAGCUGGAAUUACAGGUGCAUGCCACCACGUCCAGGUAAUUUUUGUAUUUUAGCAGAGUUAGGGUUUCACCAUGUUGGGCAGGCUUGUCUCGAACUCCUGACC
rnacentral:lncRNA from 1 species